UGCUAGCUGUGAAUGUUUUCAAUAGCAUUGUUUUGUUUUGUUGUUUCCGGCGUUUGGUUGUUUCUGCAUGAUUGUAUUGGUUACUGCAAGGAAGAACUUAAAGGAGUGAAUUAGAAAUUCAUGGAGACAAAGACCAUGUAAAUUUGAGAUUAUACUUAUACAAUUUGCAUUUUUGAGGUUUGGACAGAGGAGAAAUGAAUGCUGAAUUGUUGUUAAAAAUUGCUGCUAAUUUAACAAUCUUGGUUGGCUUAAAUUACAAAGGCUCAACAUGGGACAUGUUCUAUUAGCUGAAAGGACAAAAAGCAAGAGGCAAACUGACUCGACAUGCAAGGAAAUUUACUCCUGUAGCAAAUUUAGUUUUACGGACCUGAGCCCAACAUCCUAGAAGAAUCACUCUUGCAGCAGAUUGAAAGUAUUAAAUUUCCUUAUUAUUUUCCUAAAUAACUUUUGUGAUAAUCUCACAAAUUGACCCCCAAAAUUGCAUUUUUCUGUUCGAAGGACUAAUUUCUGCUGGUUUUAGGGAUUUUGCACCUGAGUCUAACAUCGUAGAAAAACCAUUCAUGAACCAGAUUGUAAAUAUUAAAUUUAUUUAUUAUUUUCAUAA